GCAGGCGGGAGCCGCCCGGUCCCGCCUCGGGGCGGGGGGACUUGACUCGAGCCAAUCCUAGGGUCGCAGGGCGGGAUUGGGGCGAGCUGUCACGCGAAGGUCCCAGACGGGGAAACUGAGGCUAGCAGUGGCCAGGCCGGCCAAGGUCACACCUGAAGCUGAGGCGGGGCUGGGCCCUAACCCGCUGCUUGGACUCCGAAGCCGUGCUCUACGUGAACACCGAGAGACCAAAUUUUACAAGUUACAAACCUAAGUAGUGUUCACGAAAUUCAAAGAAGUUCUCUCUCAUGAAUAUAAGGCUGUGCAAGGAUCGUCGUGACAGCAUAACUUGAAUGCAACAUGAAAGAAAAAAAGAAAACGUAACCCACCAAAAUAUUUAUCAAGAGAAUUGUAAAUAAAUUAUGGUUCAUUCAUGCUGGAGAACUCUCUGCAGCUACUGAAAAGAACAGGUCACAGCUUGGAGAGGAGAUUGAAGGCAAAGCAGCAAGUUGCAGAAUAUGAACUGGGAGCCUUUAACUUUUUUUUUUUUAAAUUAGAAUCUAUUAUACCAUA